CAAGAGGGCGGGGUUUUAGUGAAAAAACGGGUAGGGAAAAAAGUACCUCGUGACCUGUUGUGAUGCAAAUAAGCUGCCAAAACGAGAGAGCUAUCGCCAACUUUGUACAGCUCGUUUCUGUAAAUAUGUGUUAGUAAUACUGGAGUGUAACAUGGCGGCGUUUCCAUUCAUUUAGGUUCAUCUCAGGACGAAUUAUUUUAACCUCCAGCAAUGAGAAGCGGGCGGUGAGUAUAGUGUAUACUGUGUGUUUGGCCUCGCGCCUGUCAAAUAGCGAUACUGACUUCACGUUCAUUUCACUCUGAGUAAUGGGAUUUAUCUCACCUGGCGCUUCAUGUCAAAUAAUUAUCAGAGUUUACGUUCAAAGUCUUGAUUUUACUAAAGGAAUAAGAUAAAAGAAUACACCGGAGUUACUUCGUAAGACAAUGAAACUGUUCCGUUGUUAGCGAGGUGCUAAUUUUAUUGUCCUUUCCAGAUAUCGCGAUACCACACGGUAUCACUGAUUGAAGCUCAGUGUACAACAGAUAUCGCGAUACUAACACGGAAUGUCUGACUGACAGAUGUGCUGCUAUUUAACAAUAGUUUUUUAAAGAUAAAAUACGUGUGAAAUUAGGGAUCUUUUUAGUCUGUGAAGAAUAAACAUACUUGUGAAUGUACCUAAAAAUGUUUUGCUGAAUGUCGCUGAAGAGUAGGAAAUAUCGCUGAAGAGUAAGGGAAUGUUGUUGAAAGUGUACUGAAAGUGUAAGGAAUACCCAACUGGACAGACUAUUACUCAUAUGUGUGGACUACUGAAUGUAGGGAGUACACUCACAUGCACAGAGUACUGACGUGUACUGAAUACUGAGUACUGAUGUGUGUGGAGUACUAAAUAUCGGCAGUACUGGCGUGUGCAUAGUACUGAUGUGCAGAAUACUGAAUCAUAUGGAGUACUGAUGUGGGCAGAAUACUGAAUGUAGGGAGUACAGAUGUGUGUGGAGUACUGAAUGUAGGGAGUACAGAUGUGUGUGUGGAGUACUGAAUGUAGGGAGUACAGAUGUAUGUGUGUGGAGUACUGAAUGUAGGGAGUACAGAUGUGGGGAGUACAGAUAUGUGUGGAGUACAGAUGUGUGUGGAGUACUGAUGAUCAAGAUGAACAGCAGGAGUUCUGUUGCUUCAGGAGAGAGAGAGCUGAGAUAAAACCACUUUACACAUCAUCAGCACCAAACAUCACACGUCCCACCUCCACACAGAACAGAACGUAGCUUCACCGCUGUUUAGUAACGAGCAGCGUGGUUGUGUGUGUUGUGUUUGAGAGCUCUCGCUGGAGCUUCUUAUCUCCUUAUUCCGCUGCAUUCUGAACACGCAGCAGGACAGAAACAUGCUACAACACGCAGGUCCGAUCUCCACGGUGCGAGUCGUGUGGCGUAGCGCUCGGCUGUUUCUCAGGCGACGGGAAUCAAAUGAUCAACCAGCGUGGAGGGUUUCACUCAGGUCCUUCACUGUAGCUUUUGGUUUUACAGAAAAUCCGUCAAAGCCUCAGAGUGAAAUCCACACCGACCUCACUGAGGACGGACUAAACGUCUUUCUGAUUCAUCACAAUGUACAAUUUACAGCUUCUGUUCGUCUCUCACGGUUCUGUUCGUCUCUCACGGUUCUGUUCGUCUCUCACGGUUCUGUUCUGGGGACGUUUCAGUCCCGAUCCCUGUCCUACAUCCUGUAUCUGUGUCUCAUCAGAAUAGAGGUGAACGUCAG
ensembl:lncRNA